AUUGAACUGGCGACAACACUUGGGAUUGAAGUGUUAAAUUGAAAAUGGCACUUUUUUGGCACUUUUUGAGUAAAAAAAGGUGAUAAAAUGUUAUUAGUGAGAAGUGAAGAUGAUUACAAAAAUAAAUCUUAUAUUGAGUCUGCGCUCCACUUCUCAUUUAUAAUCUUAUGAUGAUAUAGCAGGAGAUUGCUAUGUUGCCCGGCAGAGGCUUUGUAUCUGGCCACUAGUCUCAACAGAUGACGACACUUCUGUUCAAUCUCAUAUCCUAUCCAUACUGGAUGUAAAACACGCAUGCGGCGCUGACUGGUGCGUUAACCAGUUUUUUAAAUAUAUAGCCCUUUCCAUCUGUUGAAAAUUGAGCAGCUGGUUUUU
rnacentral:sRNA from 1 species